GGGGAUUUAGCUCAGUGGUAGAGUACGUGCCUAGCAAGCGCAAGGCCCUGGGUUCGGUCCCCAGCUCCCA
rnacentral:tRNA from 1 species